GGAAUAUUGCACAAUGGGCGAAAGCCUGAUGCAGCAACGCCGCGUGAGGGAUGAAGGCCUUCGGGUUGUAAACCUCUUUCAGGAGGGAAGAAAUUGACGGUACCUCCAAAAGAAGCCCCGGCUAACUACGUGCCAGCAGCCGCGGUAAUACGUAGGGGGCGAGCGUUGUCCGGAUUUAUUGGGCGUAAAGGGCUCGUAGGCGGUUCAGUAAGUCGGCUGUGAAAGUCCGAGGCUCAACCUCGGAAAUGCAGUCGAUACUGCUGUGACUAGAAUCAGGUAGAGGAGAAUGGAAUUCCCGGUGUAGCGGUGGAAUGCGCAGAUAUCGGGAGGAACACCAGUAGCGAAGGCGG
rnacentral:rRNA from 1 species